rnacentral:rRNA from 1 species
GACGAACGCUGGCGGCGUGCUUAACACAUGCAAGUCGAACGGAAAGGCCCUGCUUUUGUGGGGUGCUCGAGUGGCGAACGGGUGAGUAACACGUGAGUAACCUGCCCUUGACUUUGGGAUAACUUCAGGAAACUGGGGCUAAUACCGGAUAGGAGCUCCUGCUGCAUGGUGGGGGUUGGAAAGUUUCGGCGGUUGGGGAUGGACUCGCGGCUUAUCAGCUUGUUGGUGGGGUAGUGGCUUACCAAGGCUUUGACGGGUACCCGGCCUGAGAGGGUGAACGGCCACAAUGGGACUGAGAUACGGACCAGACUCCUACGGGAGGCAGCAGUGGGGAAUAUUGCACAAUGGGCGGAAGCCUGAUGCAGCAACGCCGCGUGCGGGAUGACGGCCUUCGGGUUGUAAACCGCUUUCGCCUGUGACGAAGCGUGAGUGACGGUAAUGGGUAAAGAAGCACCGGCUAACUACGUG